rnacentral:rRNA from 1 species
UACGUAGGCAGCGAGCGUUGUUCGGAGUUACUGGGCGUAAAGAGUGCGUAGGCGGUUUUCUAAGUUUGGUGUGAAAUCUCCCGGCUUAACUGGGAGGGUGCGCCGAAAACUGGGGUGGCUGGAGCGCGGGAGAGGAAAGCGGAAUCCUGGUGUAGCGGUGAAAUGCGUAGAUAUCAGGAGGAACACCGGCGGUGUAGACGGCUUUCUGGACCGUAGCUGACGCUGAGACACGAAAGCGUGGGUAGCAAACAGG